GUCCCAGGGUGGGUGAACACAGGAGGCAUGGAAGCCCUCACCCCCAAGGAGGCUUUGUUACUAAGGUCAGUGGACCUGCAACCCCAGAGCCCCACCUGCAGGCUGGGUGGGGUUCAAGGGAGAAAAAGGGAAACCUGGAGGACCCCCAUGCCCCUGCCCCAGUUAUGGGCCCUGGACCCCCAACUGCCGUGGAGAACUGAAGGGAGGCCAUAGGGACAGCAGCGUUGUGCAAGGGGAAAGGCUGAAGCACCAGUGCAGCUUCACCAGGCCACUGACUGUGGGCAAGAGAUGUAAUGGAAACUCAGUUUUCUCAUCUGUGAAAGGGGAAUAAUAUCGCCUCGUGGGAUGGCACUGAGGGUCAAAUGCAAUAAUAGAGGUGGCCCAUUUUGAACCUGGAAAUUGCCAUAGGGAGGUAAUAGAUGAUUAGUGUAGAGACACAAGGCCAAAGGCUGCUUCUUAGAUUCUUGUUUCCAGUUACUAUAAAAGAUCCCUUUGCAAGGACACCGUGUGGUUCUCAAUUUUGGCCCCUGGUGUCUAGAACAAGGUAGGGGGAGGUGCAGAGGCCAGAGGGAUUCCUGAAUCUUAGUCCCUAAGCACAAGCAGAAGAGACUGAUGCCUGCCUGCCUCCAGCUGAUUCCCCAGGGACAUACCCCUCUUCAUUUCUCCUGCACCUCCUCACCUUCCAUGAAUCCAGACCAUGCCCCACCCCUCCUCCUGAGACCCCGCCCUCCAUCUCCCGGCCUCUCUAGGGUGCAGGGCAGAGGAAGUGAGUCUACUCAGCUGACCAGAGAAAGUGCUGCAGCUGCCUACACAGGGUGGGCCGACUGCUGGCUUGUUCAGGGCCUGUGAUAACUCCCUUGCCUCAGGCCUCCCCAGCCCCUGCUGGGACCACUGGCCCAGGAGGAAGGCUGGGCUCUGGCUGCCACCUGCUUCCUCUCAGGAGUUCUUCUCCCUCCCAAGCAUGGAUUUGCAUUCCCCCCUCUGCCUUCUGCUACUCAAGCCCCCAGGGAUGAGGUGACAGUUAACCCUCCACUUCCUGCUAGUGGCCCCAGAGCGCUCACUUCCUUCCAGGGAGGAGGCUUGCGCUUCAGAAGGAGAGAAGCCAAACUACUGAGCAAGACAACAAGGAGAGAUCUUAAGAUGCUAUGCACUCAGAACUUCGGCAGCCAGAAUGGGACUGAAACUUUGACAGACACAAUGGGCCAAUGGGCAGGACAUAGCUCUCAUGGCCACCCUCAUAGCCAUGGAAAGCAUGGCAGCGGUACCAGGACCGCCCACUCCCAGGGAACUGUGAACCAAGUUCUUGUCUUAGUUUCUUUGGGUUCCCAGUAGAGGAUGGGACUCCAGCACCUUUCUGCCUGUCUGGGUUGCUGAGUGGCACCACCUGCAUGUUCAAGUACCGGAGACAGCAAGAAAGCUAAUUCAGCAGCAGCUCCCAGGGAGAGCCCACUUGGCAGUCUGUAGAAUCCAGCAAGGAAAACAGGCCACCCUUCCCCCACAAGCAUCAAUGCCUAUGCUAUGUGUUUUGCUUCCUGUGAGACUGUCAGUUAGGGCCCAGUUCAGUGUGGGGCUGAGGCAGCCUGAAUGUGGUUAUUUGUGCAAGCUCCUCUUGCCUCCCCUCCCCACAACUGUUUCCAUUCUCACCAAGCAGCCACGUCCGGGUCAGACACCCAGGACAGCAGCUGGGGCUUUCCAAGGGACUUUUUGAGAAGCUAGUGAAAGUUGGGUGUUGGCUGCACAGCCUGGGCACUUGCUGAAACGCACGUCUUCCAUCUAGGACGUAAGCUCUAGCCUGGCAGGGUUGCUUUCAGGUUGAAAUUGAACAGAAAUCACCACCCAUGGAGCUUUCUGUUUGCUGGGCUGGGGAAAUCCUUGAGAAACUCAGUUUGGAGUUGGGGUUAUCUGACUAUUCCCUCAGAGCUUGAAGGCACCAGAGAAAAUGGUUUUGGUUUGAAGACCAUGAGUGGACAUGAGCAGCCCAGCCAGUCCCAGUUUCCCUCCCGUAGGCCUAUGCGAGGACAAGGAAGGGGAGCAGACAAACUAAUCAGAGUCAGGUCAGCAUCUCUCCUCCUUCCCACACUCUCCAGGCCACAGGUAACAAGCAAAAUCAACUCAAGAGCAACACCAGGUGGCUGAGACACAAAGCCCUAGCACAGGCAGCUCUGCCCUAGCACAGCACAGCUCACCCUGCAGUUGUGGUUCUCAGCAUUUCCCAUACUAUUUUGGCUGAUCGUGCACAUAUUCUAUGUAUUGAAAAAUGGCCCAAAAAGGAGAGCAAAAGGAUGUCACCUUUAUAAUACUUAUAUAAUUUUCACAUAGCUUCGUUUCUACAAUCACAACAAUCCUGAGGUAAACAGGCAGGGUGUAAUCAUUCUCUUUUUAGAGGGCGAACAAGGAACUUAGGGAAAUCAAAAUGGGGAUACUAACAGGAUUUCUAUGGAAAUUUAAAUGAGAAUUUGUGGUAAAUUUUUUUAUCCUAAAACAAC